rnacentral:tRNA from 1 species
GGUUGUAGUUCAGUGGUACAGCAUGUGUUUAACAUGCAUGAGGUCCUGGCUUCCAGUCCCAGCACCA